UACAGAGGGGGCGAGCGUUGUUCGGAAUUACUGGGCGUAAAGGGCGCGUAGGCGGCCUUCUAAGUCGGACGUGAAAUCCCUCGGCUCAACCGGGGAACUGCGUCCGAUACUGGAUGGCUUGAAUUCGGGAGAGGGAUGCGGAAUUCCAGGUGUAGCGGUGAAAUGCGUAGACAUCUGGAGGAACACCGGUGGCGAAGGCGGCAUCCUGGACCGAGAUUGACGCUGAUGCGCGAAAGCCAGGGGAGCAAACGGG
rnacentral:rRNA from 1 species